rnacentral:tmRNA from 1 species
GGGGCCGACUUGGCUUCGACAAGAGAGCGUAAUGUUAGGCGGCAUGUCGGCGUGGGAACAGCCGUAAAACUACCCGCAAAUAUAAACGCAAACAACGCGAAUUAUCGUCCCGCUUACGCGCUAGCCGCGUAAUGGACAGGUUCUUAGGUUUCGCCGCGGGAUUUAAGACGCCUCAACUUUAGCGGCUUUGGCGCGCGUUCUGGCAAGCUCACGUCGAGAUUAGCCUGCGUUUUUGGAGGGUUUGCCCCGUUGGCGCUCCAAACAACAAAGACAAUCAACGGGUUCUAAGCAUGUAGAAGCCUAAGGUUUAACUCUUUUGGACAGGGGUUCGAUUCCCCUCGGCUCCACCA